rnacentral:rRNA from 1 species
AUUGAACGCUGGCGGAAUGCUUUACACAUGCAAGUCGAACGGCAGCACGGGGCAACCUGGUGGCGAGUGGCGAACGGGUGAGUAAUACAUCGGAACGUGCCCAAUCGUGGGGGAUAACGUAGCGAAAGUUACGCUAAUACCGCAUACGAUCUACGGAUGAAAGCGGGGGAUCGCAAGACCUCGCGCGAAUGGAGCGGCCGAUGUCAGAUUAGGUAGUUGGUGGGGUAAAGGCUCACCAAGCCAACGAUCUGUAGCUGGUCUGAGAGGACGACCAGCCACACGGGGACUGGGACACGGCCCAGACUCCUACGGGAGGCAGCAGUGGGGAAUAUUGGACAAUGGGCGAAAGCCUGACGCAGCAACGCCGCGUGAGUGAAGAAGGCCUUCGGGUUGUAAAGCUCUUUCGGCCGGGAAGAAAUCGCACGGGCUAAUACCCUGUGUGGAUGACGGUACCGGAAUAAGAAGCACCGGCUAACUACGUGCCAGCCGCCGCCGUAAAAC